UAGAGUCUCCUGAAGGAACGUUGAAGACGACGACGUUGAUAGGCCGGGUGUGUAAGCGCAGCGAUGCGUUGAGCUAACCGGUACUAAUGAACCGUGAGGCUUAACCUU
rnacentral:rRNA from 3 species